rnacentral:rRNA from 1 species
UACGUAGGUGGCAAGCGUUGUCCGGAUUUAUUGGGCGUAAAGCGCGCGCAGGUGGUUCCUUAAGUCUGAUGUGAAAGCCCACGGCUCAACCGUGGAAGGUCAUUGGAAACUGGGGAACUUGAGUGCAGAAGAGGAAAGUGGAAUUCCAAGUGUAGCGGUGAAAUGCGUAGAUAUUUGGAGGAACACCAGUGGCGAAGGCGACUUUCUGGUCUGUAACUGACACUGAGGCG